ncrna:unclassified sequences GA-cis RNA
CCGAGGAGAUGCCCAUGUGGCGAAGCCACAUCUUAAAAUGGCAUCGACGACCGAUCGCAUUGCGAAGCAAUGUGAUCGUACAACGA